GGGCCUAUAGCCUAGUGGUUACAAGAGUUUUAGUAGCAUCUGAAGUUCUGGGUUCGACUCCUGGUGGGAACG